rnacentral:rRNA from 1 species
AUUGAACGCUGGCGGCAGGCCUAGCACAUGCAAGUCGAACGGUAACAGGAAGAAGCUUGCUUCUUUGCUGACGAGUGGCGGACGGGUGAGUAAUGUCUGGGAAACUGCCUGAUGGAGGGGGAUAACUACUGGAAACGGUAGCUAAUACCGCAUAACGUCGCAAGACCAAAGAGGGGGACCUUCGGGCCUCUUGCCAUCGGAUGUGCCCAGAUGGGAUUAGCUAGUAGGUGGGGUAACGGCUCACCUAGGCGACGAUCCCUAGCUGGUCUGAGAGGAUGACCAGCCACACUGGAACUGAGACACGGUCCAGACUCCUACGGGAGGCAGCAGUGGGGAAUAUUGCACAAUGGGCGCAAGCCUGAUGCAGCCAUGCCGCGUGUAUGAAGAAGGCCUUCGGGUUGUAAAGUACUUUCAGCGGGGAGGAAGGGAGUAAAGUUAAUACCUUUACUCAUUGACGUUACCCGCAGAGGAAGCACCGGCUAACUCCGUG